UACGUAGGGUGCGAGCGUUAAUCGGAAUUACUGGGCGUAAAGCGUGCGCAGGCGGUUCGUUGUGUCUGAUGUGAAAGCCCCGGGCUUAACCUGGGAACGGCAUUGGAAACUGGCGAGCUUGAGUGUGGCAGAGGGGGGUGGAAUUCCGCGUGUAGCAGUGAAAUGCGUAGAGAUGCGGAGGAACACCGAUGGCGAAGGCAGCCCCCUGGGCCAACACUGACGCUCAGGCACGAAAGCGUGGGGAGCAAACAGG
rnacentral:rRNA from 1 species